rnacentral:rRNA from 1 species
AACUUAGCAGAGAUGCUUUGGUGCCUUCGGGAACUCCGAGACAGGUGCUGCAUGGCUGUCGUCAGCUCGUGUUGUGAAAUGUUGGGUUAAGUCCCGCAACGAGCGCAACCCUUAUCCUUUGUUGCCAGCGGUCCGGCCGGGAACUCAAAGGAGACUGCCAGUGAUAAACUGGAGGAAGGUGGGGAUGACGUCAAGUCAUCAUGGCCCUUACGAGUAGGGCUACACACGUGCUACAAUGGCGCAUACAAAGAGAAGCGACCUCGCGAGAGCAAGCGGACCUCAUAAAGUGCGUCGUAGUCCGGAUUGGAGUCUGCAACUCGACUCCAUGAAGUCGGAAUCGCUAGUAAUCGUGGAUCAGAAUGCCACGGUGAAUACGUUCCCGGGCCUUGUACACACCGCCCGUCACACCAUGGGAGUGGGUUGCAAAAGAAGUAGGUAGCUUAACCUUCGGGAGGGCGCUUACCACUUUGUGAUUCAUGACUGGGGUGGAAGUCGUAACAAGGUAGGCGUAGUGCU